UACGAACCGUACAAACGUUAUUCGGAAUCACUGGGCUUAAAGGGUGCGUAGGCGGCCAUGUAAGUGAGGUGUGAAAUCCCUCGGCUCAACCGAGGAACUGCGCUUCAUACUGCAUGGCUUGAGGGAGACAGGGGUCAGCGGAACUGAUGGUGGAGCGGUGAAAUGCGUUGAUAUCAUCAGGAACACCGGUGGCGAAAGCGGCUGACUGGGUCUCUUCUGACGCUGAGGUACGAAAGCUAGGGGAGCGAACGGG
rnacentral:rRNA from 1 species